rnacentral:tRNA from 1 species
GCCCGGAUGGCGAAAUUGGUAUACGCAAGGGACUUAAAAUCCCUCGUCCGAAAGGAUAUGCGGGUUCGACCCCCGCUCCGGGCA